UACAGAGGUCUCAAGCGUUGUUCGGAUUCAUUGGGCGUAAAGGGUGCGUAGGCGGCGCGGUAAGUCGGGUGUGAAAUCUCGGAGCUUAACUCCGAAACUGCAUUCGGAUACUGCCGUGCUUGAGGACUGGAGAGGAGACUGGAAUUUACGGUGUAGCGGUGAAAUGCGUAGAUAUCGUAAGGAAGACCAGUGGCGAAGGCGGGUCUCUGGACAGUUCCUGACGCUGAGGCACGAAGGUCAGGGGAGCAAACGGG
rnacentral:rRNA from 1 species